ACAACAUUUGGACCGUCGCCGCGUCGGUUUAACGAGCAAAUAUCACCCGCUCGGUGGAAGAUCUUCCCUUUGUUUA
rnacentral:pre_miRNA from 1 species